UGGCGCAAUUGGAUAGCGCGUCCGACUACGGAUCGGGAGGUUGCAGGUUCGAGUCCUGC
rnacentral:tRNA from 1 species